rnacentral:rRNA from 1 species
UGGGGGAUAUUGCACAAUGGGCGAAAGCCUGAUGCAGCGACGCCGCGUGGGGGAUGAAGGCCUUCGGGUUGUAAACUUCUUUUGCUCUGAACAAGGCAUGCCUUUGGGGUGUGUUGAGUGUAGGGGUUGAUUAGCGCCGGCUAACUACGUGCCAGCAGCCGCGGUAAUACGUAGGGCGCGAGCGUUGUCCGGAAUUAUUGGGCGUAAAGGGCUUGUAGGUGGCUGGUUGCGUCUGUCGUGAAAGCUCAUGGCUUAACUGUGGGUUUGCGGUGGGUACGGGCUGGCUUGAGUGCAGUAGGGGAGGCUGGAAGUCCUGGUGUAGCGGUGGAAUGCGCAGAUAUCAGGAGGAAUACCGGUGGCGAAGGCGGGUCUCUGGGCUGUUACUGACGCUGAGGAGCGAAAGCGUGGGGAGCGAACAGG